rnacentral:ncRNA from 2 species
GGCAGAGGAGGGCUGUUCUUC